UUAAAGUAGUAAGGGCGCAGGGUGGAUGCCUUGGCACUAAGAGCCGAUGAAAGACGUGAUAAGCUGCGAAAAGCUUCGGGGAGGAGCACAUAUCCAAUGAUCCGGAGAUAUCUGAAUGGGGAAACCCGGCAGAGGAAACCUCUGUCAGCGUGCAGUGAAUACAUAGCUGUACGUGGGGAACCCGGGGAACUGAAACAUCUAAGUACCCGGAGGAAGAGAAAGAAAAUUUAUCGAUUUCCAAAGUAGCGGCGAGCGAAAUGGAAAGAGCCCAAACCGUGAUGCGUGCAUCGCGGGGUUCGGACUGCGUUGUGGCAGACGUAAGAUAGGAGAACGGACUGGGAAGUCCGGCCGGAGAGAGUGAAAGCCUCGUAUCCGAAAUCCCAAGUCGCCUAGCAGGAUCCAGAGUAGGACGAGACACGAGAAACCUUGUCUGAAGGAGCGGGGACCACCCCGUAAGGCUAAAUACUUCUUAGUGACCGAUAGCGCAUAGUACUGUGAAGGAAAGGUGAAAAGUACCCCGGGAGGGGAGUGAAAGAGAACCUGAAACCCUGUGUCUACAAGCUGUGGGACCUCUUUAUAUGAGGGACUGCGUACUUUUUGUAGAACGGUCCGGCGAGUUGUGCGUACUGGCGAGGUUAAGGACUUAAGGUCUGGAGCCGAAGUGAAAGCAAGCGUUAAGAGCGCGUCAAGUCAGUGAGUGCAGACCCGAAACCGGGUGACCUAUCCAUGUCCAGGUUGAAGCUUCCGUAAGAGGAAGUGGAGGACCGAACCCACAUCCGUUGAAAAGGGUGGGGAUGAGGUGUGGAUAGCGGAGAAAUUCCAAUCGAACCCGGAGAUAGCUGGUUCUCCUCGAAAUAGCUUUAGGGCUAGCCUCAUGAGAGUCUUAUGGAGGUAGAGCACUGAAUUGCCUAGGGGGCGUCAAAGCUUACCAAAGCAUAUCAAACUCCGAAUGCCAUCAAGAUGAUUCAUGGGAGUCAGACCAUACGAGAUAAGUUGGAUGGUCAAAAGGGAAAGAGCCCAGACCUACAGCUAAGGUCCCAAAGUGCGUGUUAAGUGGAAAAGGAUGUGGGGAUUCUAAGACAACUAGGACGUUGGCUUAGAAGCAGCCAUUCAUUGAAAGAGUGCGUAAUAGCUCACUAGUCGAGAGUCCCUGCGCCGAAAAUGUCCGGGGCUGAAACACGACACCGAAGCUUAGGAAUGUGUAAACAUUGGUAGAGGAGCAUUGCUGGCGGGAUGAAGCCAUACCGUAAGGAGUGGUGGACUGCUAGGAAGAGAGAAUGCCGGAAUGAGUAGCGAGAUGAAGGUGAGAAUCCUUCAGGCCGAAUAUCUAAGGUUUCCAGAGUAAAGCUGAUCUGCUCUGGGUAAGUCGGGACCUAAGGCGAGGUCGAAAGACGUAGUCGAUGGAUAACAGGUUGAAAUUCCUGUACCGCAUAUAAACAGAACUGUGGGGACACAGACAGGGAAUGGAAUCCGGGAGUGGAUAUCCCGGUGCAAGCGAGGUAGGAGUGCUGUUGGCAAAUCCGCAGCACGAUCUGAAGACGUGACGCGUACCGAACAUAAGUAGGGAAGUCCAGGCCCCUGGCUGUCAAGAAAAGCCGCUAUUGUUUUAUAUGUGCCCGUACCGCAAACCGACACAGGUGGAUGAGGAGAGAAUCCUAAGGCCGACGGGAGAAGUAUUGUUAAGGAACUCGGCAAAAUGACUCCGUAACUUCGGGAGAAGGAGUGCCAGUAAGAUGGCCGCAGAGAAUUGGCCCAAGCAACUGUUUAGCAAAAACACAGGUCUAUGCAAAACCGAAAGGUGAGGUAUAUGGGCUGACGCCUGCCCGGUGCUGGAAGGUUAAGGGGAGAGGUUAGCGCAAGCGAAGCUUUGAACUUAAGCCCCAGUAAACGGCGGCCGUAACUAUAACGGUCCUAAGGUAGCGAAAUUCCUUGUCGGGUAAGUUCC
rnacentral:rRNA from 1 species